rnacentral:lncRNA from 1 species
CAGUGACUGUCGUUGUGGAAUCAGAGGCAGCUGUGCUGUGCUCCAAGCGGAAAUACUUCCCCUGUGACGAGUAGAACAAACAAAUAACUAUAAUUAAGGCUUUUUGCUUUAAUUAACACUAUUGAACUCGAGCAAAGGCUGGCAAAGGGAAGCAGCAAAAGGAAGUGCCUUUUAAAACACGAAGAUAACAUACUCUUUCUACACAAACGAAGAUCUUUUGAGGGGGAAGGAGCUCUGUUUAGCCAAAGAACUGGUAAUGGAACAGAAGUGGGGAGAAAAUAAAAAUUAACUCUAAAAUCAAUAAGGUUUCAUACUUGCCAAUCGCGUCCAUGGUACCCUCCCUCACCAAGUGUAUCAUUAUUUGCAAUCCAAUAAGAACUUCCGGUCCAUUUGGCGAGUGUUUUAUGAAUGAAAAUCUUGUCGCAUCCCUCGGGAGCACUCGCUCCCCCAUUCGCUCCAAGUCGCUGUCCAUCGCUGGCGAUCGUCACGCUCAUUGCCAAUUAGUGCAAUCAACUGGUUGAAGCGAUGGAAGCAGGGUGCUCAGGCCUCGGCCUAGACAAUUGCUUUGGAAAUCUUACAGAGUUCACAAAACAUGAUAAGAUUAAUUGAGUGCGUCUCCCUUCGAUCCCGGAGCAGCCUUCUUAGAGGCAUAUGUGCCCAAUGUCUUGAAUAUAUUCCUUUAGAUAGGAUUUAUCAAUAAAAGUAUGUAAAAUAUGUACAUAAAUAUGUACAAAAUGUA